rnacentral:rRNA from 1 species
CCUACGGGUGGCUGCAGUGGGGAAUAUUGCACAAUGGGCGAAAGCCUGAUGCAGCAACGCCGCGUGAGCGAUGAAGGCCUUCGGGUCGUAAAGCUCUGUCCUCCAAGAAGAUAAUGACGGUACUUGAGGAGGAAGCCCAGGUUAACUACGUGCCAGCAGCCGCAGUACUACGUGGGGGGCUAGCGUUAUCCGGAAUUAUUGGGCGUACAGGGUGAGUAGGUGGUUUCUUAAGUCAGAGGUGAAAGGCUAGGGCUCAACCGUAGUAAGCCUUUGAACCUGGGAAACUUGAGUGCAGGAGAGGAGAGUGGAAUUCGUAGUGUAGCGGUGAAAUGCGUAGAUAUUAGGAGGAACACCAGUUGCGAAGGCAGCUCUCUGGAGUGUGACUGACACUGAGGCACGAAAGCGUGGGGAGCGAACAGGAUUAGAUACCCGAGUAGUC